rnacentral:rRNA from 1 species
GAUGAACGCUGGCGGCGUGCCUAAUACAUGCAAGUCGAGCGAACGGACGAGAAGCUUGCUUUUCUGAUGUUAGCGACGGGCGGGUGAGUAACACGUGGAUAACCUACCUAUAAGACUGGGAUAACUUCGGGAAACCGGAGCUAAUACCGGAUAAUAUUUUGAACCGCAUGGUUCAAAAGUGAAAGACGGUCUUGCUGUCACUUAUAGAUGGAUCCGCGCUGCAUUAGCUAGUUGGUAAGGUAACGGCUUACCAAAGCAACGAUGCAUAGCCGACCUGAGAGGGUGAUCGGCCACACGGGAACUGAGACACGGUCCAGACUCCUACGGGAGGCAGCAGUAGGGAAUUUUCCGCAAUGGGCGAAAGCCUGACGGAGCAACGCCGCGUGAGUGAUGAAGGUCUUCGGAUCGUAAAACUCUGUUAUUAGGGAAGAACAUAUGUGUAAGUAACUGUGCACAUCUUGACGGUACCUAAUCAGAAAGCCACGGCUAACUACGUG